UUAUUUUUUUAAAAUCCCUACAAAACCUUAUAAAAAGGGUAUAAUGUAAAAUGAACAACAUUUGGGAACAUUUUGUUUGAAGUACACAAACUAACAAAAUUAGGGGCUUUUAUAGAUUUAGGUAUAUUUCAGCCCAAAAAUUUGAGAAAAAGCACAUUCACUUGUUUCUAUAGAGAUGGACAUAUUUUGGUAGAUAAAAUGACAAUUUCAUCCUCUUUCUUCAUUUCUUCUUCAUUCUUCGUCGAUCUUCAUUCCUCAUUCUUCAUUUUUUUUUUCCAGAAAAUUUAUUGAUCUUCUUCUACCUUUUGAACCCAAUAAAUCCAUUUUAGUAAAAGAAAUCUAAACCCUAGAAGAUGGUGUAUAGGGAACCCAAUGAUCCAAUCUUAAACACAUAGUAAAAUCAAUUACAUAUUUGGGGAAUUCAAUUGAAUCAAUCUCUUUAAUUACAUGUUUAACUCAGACUGGAUUUUUGAUAUAGAAAAUUACAUGUGUAUUCAAUCGAAUCACCCUCUUUAAUUUAAAAUC
rnacentral:sRNA from 1 species